UACGUAGGCAGCAAGCGUUGUUCGGAGUUACUGGGCGUAAAGAGUGCGUAGGUGGUGCCCUAAGUCUGUUGUGAAAUCUCCCGGCUUAACUGGGAGGGUGCGGUGGAAACUGGGGUGCUUGAGUGUGGGAGAGGUAAGUGGAAUUCCUGGUGUAGCGGUGAAAUGCGUAGAUAUCAGGAGGAACACCUGUGGCGAAAGCGGCGCACUGGACCAUAACUGACGCUGAGGCGCGAAAGCUAGGGGAGCAAACAGG
rnacentral:rRNA from 1 species